rnacentral:tRNA from 1 species
UCGGGUAGCUUACUUGGUCGAAGUACUCGCCCGAAAAGCGAGAAAUCCGGUUUCGACUUCCGUGUACCCGAU